AUUAUCCCCCCAAUUUCUAUUUUUACUUCUUAUUCAACAAUAUGAGAGCAGUUUUCUCCAAUGAUUUAUUUUAUUAUGGUGUCCAGGUUCUUUUUUGUUUGUUUGUUUUUUGAUCAUGUCUUUCAGGCAAUUGAAUGAUUCUUAGAUUUCUCUCCUCGAUCUAUUUUCCAGUCACUUUUCUAAUGAGAUAUUUCAGGUUUCCUUCAAUAUUUUUUCAUUAUUUUGAACAUGUUUUAUUAUUUCUUGCUGUCUUAUUAAGUAAUUAGCUUCCAUUUGUCCAAUUCUAAUUUUUAGGGAACCCUUUUCUUCUCUGAGACUUUAUAUUUCCUUUCAUAGGAAGUUAAUUUCCUAUUUAAGGUGUUGUAUUUCCUUUUUCUUCUAAAUUGUUUAUUUUACUAUCUUUUUCUUUUCUGAUUUUUUCUUCUAAGUUUAUUAUUAUUUGCUUAUUUAAUUUUUAUAGCUCUUCUAGGAGUUCAUUUUGGACUUAACAUUCUUCCACAUGUUUUUGAGGCUUCCCAUAUUUUCAUUUUUGUAUUACUGUCCUCUUCUAAGCUCCCAUUUUGGUUCUCUCUCUUGCUGAAACAUUUUUUCUAGUAUCCAUUAGGACUAAUUAAUCCAUAGGUCUAAUGAGUACUAUUUGGAGUAAUUGGAAUCUUAGCAUCUAAGGACAGGGUGAAGGAUAGUGGAUAAAGUUUCUUUAAGGCCAGACAGAAUCCUGGGAAGGUUGCCUGUGGGAAUUCUGGGUAUCCUAAGUCAGUUGGUUUUCCAACUAUCGAGAACUCCUGGAGUAUUUUUUUCCUAGGAGGAGUGCUGGUUUUCUUUUCCCUGGAACACUGAAAAAAACCAGUGGUAGGUGAAGGAGGAGAACAGGUUAGAGUUUUUGUAAUAAGUUUGUGGGGGAAAUCAACAGAAAAGAGAAAGAGAGAGACUAUUUUUCUUCUGUGUGGCAGCUGAGAGGGCCAAGACAUUUUGAGGUCUGCUUAGACCAAAAAAAGUAUUACUUGGUUAAAAUACACAUUAAGUAUCUUUCUUUCUACAGAUCAUUGAUUAUGGAUAGAAAAUUCCUGGGUAGGAAACAUUUUAUCAUUUAUUUAUUUUUCUCUUUUCAUCCUGUCAAGCACACUUUUGUACUGCCAAAGACAAUAUGACCCAAUUGGUCUGAUAGAGGUAAUUUUAACAAUUUACUUAUUAUAAUUAAAUUACAUUUAAAAAAGAUGAGACACUCUGGUUCAGGUUAGAAACUUAAUAGUAUUUAAGAUACAUCCUUAGAGAUGUGGUUAUUUACAUAUAUUUUCAGAAAUGAUACAGGUAUAUGUAUUUAUGUGUAAAUAUAGGUUCAUUAUAAUAACAUUUCAGGGUCUAAUAAGAAAAUGCAGUAGUCAUUUCAGUAGUAUUGUGAACAUCAUGGAUAGAUCAAGUUAAUAUAUUUGUAUGUAUGCACACAUGAAUACACACAUGUGCAUGUGUAGUUAUAGGUGCAGUAUUUUAAGACUAGCAAGCUAAAGUUUUCUGUUUGAAAUUCCUUAUACUAGAGUAGUGGUUUCAAAACCUUUUAAGUUACUUGUUCAUAACAGUAAAAUAUCUUUGAACACAUACUCUC
rnacentral:lncRNA from 1 species